AACGAACGCUGGCGGCGUGCUUAACACAUGCAAGUCGAACGCGAAAGGGACUUCGGUCCUGAGUAAAGUGGCGCACGGGUGAGUAACGCGUAGAUAACCUGUCUUCAUGUCUGGAAUAAUACGCCGAAAGGGGUACUAAUACCGGAUACUCUUGCUUUAUAUAAGUUUUGCAAGCAAAGGUGGACUCUGCAUAUGCUACUUCAUGAAGAGGGACCGGGGUACCAUUAGCUAGUAGGUGGGGUAAUGGCCUACCUAGGCGACGAUGGUUAGCGGGUGUGAGGGGAUGACCCGCCACACUGGCACUGGAACACGGGCCAGACUCCUACGGGAGGCAGCAGUGAGGAAUAUUGCGCAAUGGGGGCAACCCUGACGCAGCGACGCCGCGUGAGUGAGGAAGGCCUUCGGGUCGUAAAGCUCUGUCAAAGGGAAAGAAGUGCAUGAUGGCUAAUACCUGUCAUGUUUGACGGUACCCUUAAAGGAAGCACCGGCUAACUCCGUGCCAGCCGCCGCCGUAA
rnacentral:rRNA from 1 species